AUUAAAAGAGGCUUCUUCUCCAGUGUCAGCUCCUCAUAUAUAUCAUAGGUCUCAGUAAGAGAGAAGGUAUUCAGUCCUUCCUAUUCAUUACACCAGAAAAUCUACUUUCUAGAAUAUUCAUUACCAAGGAGUAGAACUAAUGUCCCGUGGAAUAUGAUCUGCAAAACAGUCAAGUGCACAGGGCAGCAGAUUUCUCCGUGAAAAAUCUACACACGGUGCUCCAGCUCAUCAAAGCAAGAACCUGAAAGGUGCUAGUGCCGUGUGAACGGCAGCACUGAUUUGGUGGGAACUCCAGUAUCCCUUUAGUUCUUUGAUCUAGUUUCCUUUCACCAGUUGUGACAAACACCAUAAGCAACAGAAACUUAGGUGAGGAAAAGAUUUACUUCAGCUUAUGUAGGGAGCUGCAACGUGCUGCGCCUCAAAGAUGGCGCUGGUUUCUGCCUUCCACCCUCCCAACGGCUUAUGAUAAAUAUUCAUUGGACAUGAAUCUGUGACUGGGCUUCUUAACAAGUUCCUACAGCAGAUGGUCCAUCCCCCCCUCUCCCUCACCCACACACACUCAUAAAUAUACACAAUCUACUCCCUCUCUCUCCCUCUUUCUUCCUCUCUCUCCCCCUCUCCCUCUGUCUCUGUCUCUCUCUCCUUCUCUCUCUGUCUCUGUCUCUGUCUCUGUCUCUCUCUCUCUCUCUCUCUCUCUCUCUCUCUCUCUCACACACACACACACACACACAUGCACACACCACAUACACACAAAUCCCAGACAUGCACAUGCAGAGAGCAUGCAAAUGUUUUCCUAGUCUUCAAAAGAAAAAGCUAUUAUCUGCUUUUUCGACUGUUUCUUCGCAUGCCCUCCGUCACCUUAUGAAGAAUGAAUCUUAUUUAUUAGUCAAAAUGCUGACUAGCCCUACUAGGUGAUAGUUUUCUGUGAGUCUAUAAGGCCCCUCGAUAUGUAUCGACUAAAUGGCAGAGCUCAAAGGAUUGCGCAUUAUCGUCUGAUACAUCAAUCAGCUAAAUACAUUGGUGAAGGAAACUGGAGAUUCCGUAUCAAGAGCUACGAACAUGUGUUAUGAAAUACCACAGUAAGUACAAUUCUUAGUGAGCAAACCAAAUUUUAACCCUGUGGCUAACACAAUAAGGGUCUCCUAUUAAUAUUCUAGUAACAUACAGCAAUUUAGGGCAUAGUCAAAGAGAAAUCUAAAGUAACAGGAAGAGUAGGCAUCUCUCAGGGUUUUAUCCUAAGAACCACACUUGGAAGUCUUAGUGCAAUCUAUGGUUCACUUUGCUUUUUUGGAUCAUACGGAAUGCACGGCCACAGUCAACCACCCAAUAAGAAUUUUGGAAGAGACAGAGAAAGGAGGCAGUUCUGUGAGAGGCAGGCACACACAUAAAGGAAUUUAUUCCACCCACACUCUUUCUAAACUGUGAAAACCUUGAAAAUUCAGUGUAUACUUAGUUUGAUUGGGAAAUGUAGGGAGAAUAGUGAUGGCACACAAUAAUUUAUUUAGGUGCAUCAAUAAUGGAGGAACAGGACGGACGCCUUCCCGCAAUGUCUAGGAUGUAACAGGAUAAUUCAGAGCACAGUGCCUGUUUAUCGGGAGACAGCACACAGUGACUGUAUUUAAACCGGCAUUGCAGCGCUUCUCUCUUUAGCAUUUAAAUUGAUUCACCAGUUUACAUCUAUUCCCCACCUUCCUGUCCAACUCAGACGGUGAUUAGAAUGAGCCUCUAUUUUCUCUUUCGGAUUCCUUCAUUGACAAACAGUAUUAGAGUUUCAUCUUUAAUUUCGCUGCAAAACAUCUAAAAUAGAAGGGAAUGAGGAACUUGGCUAUAGGAACUCUCAAAUUUAAUCUCCUUUGCAGUCUGAUUCCUGCUGCGUGAAUGGCACAGUCUGAUCUUAUUGGCACUUUCAACUGCGGUGCCAGGUUCGUUUCAAAAUUUAAUACAAUGUAUUUGUCAUUCCCACCCUUCUCCUGGUUAGAACGCUGCUACCAAAUGACUACCGGUUGGGGGUCUGAGAAAGAUAUCUUGCUGAAAAUGAGAGCUGUCCUCUGAAAUGGAAUGACUCAUCUCACAUAUUAUGUGUCUUUUGUUUUUUGCAGGGGACACUAUUGCUUUCCACCAUUUAGUCUUUUAGUAAUCCAUCUAGGUAACAAUAAAAGAAGUGGAAUAUUUACUCACUGCCAUCUUCAGAGAGAGAGAGUAACAUAUUUCAUGGAUUUCACAAAUAACUUGCCCAGCAGGAAACAAGAGACAACAGAUUACAAUCAGUCAAUACUACUGUUGCUUCUCCGUGUAAGCCAAUGUCUUGCACAGUUCUGACCCACUGCUGUUACAGUCUGACAUGACCAGGCAGCCCACCAGCCCCAGCUGGCUCAGAACCGUGUCUCUCAAUUGGUAGUCCCUGGAUCAACUCUGUCUUCAUUAUCGAAGAAUUUAUUAGGAACUGAAAUUCCUUGGUUCCGUCCCCUGAAUCACAUAAAUUCUGUGGUAGCAGCUAAGGUAUGUGUUUACAUUAUUUACACUAACUUGUUAACUAUUGAUCUAGAGGAAAAGGGAAGAGUAAAAUGAUUCCAGUAUUCCAGACCCAAUUUUAGUAUACAGUGGAUGACUGCUGAAUGUAGCCAUUUACUUUAGCCUUGCCCCAUAUGUUUCAAGUUGGCAGGGUGAAGGGUAGAGUUAAAACCAUACCCACCAUGUUUAGUGAGUUCAAUCAUCAUCCCAUUAUAAGAUCUGUGACUAUAGACUCUUUAUCCAAAAAGUCCAGAUUUAUUAAAAAGAAAGAAAGAAAGAAAGAAAGAAAGAAAGAAAGAAAGAAAGAAAGAAAGAAGGGAAGAAAGAAAGAAAGAGAGAAAGGAAGAAAGAAAGAAGAAACACAUUAAUUUUUUUGUAAAAUGAGAGUUUCUGGACUUUCUCCCUAUUUGAUUCGGGUUGUUUUCUGGAGAUUAUGAAGAGACAAUCAUUUUACCUCUACCCAUAAACCCUUAACAAAUUGCCAAGAUUCAUUCAAGAACCACAUGACCCUGCAGACUUCUCACUACCUCCGAGCAACAGUGUAGGUCUCUCCCCUAAAUAUCUCAAGAUUACUGCCUGUAUGCCCUAUUACUGUUCACCAUUAUCAUGCCCUUAUGCUCCUAUUUGCCAUAUAAAGUUUAUCUAUAUACACAUAUACAGACAGAUUUACAUACACAAAGAUACCAUGUGUUUUCAGUUAGACUUGAACCUCUUUGAAGAUAGUGGCUUCUCUAUUCAUCUUUGAGUCUACUAUAGCUCUCUAGAUAUACUCUGAGUAGAAAUGUCUUUCCAAGGUAGUCAUGCUCUCCUGGAUGCUUCUGAUCAUUUGCCCUUGUCAGUCUCUCUUACUCUACUCACCACUGAUAGAGGAGUCAAUCACAAUCCUUUGCAAGACAAACUAUCACUAAGGCCAUAUGCUCCCCUGUUAGGCAAUAUUAAACCUGAUUAACUGUUCCUUGAAAUGAACAUUUAGGGGAACAUUUAAGGGAAAAUAUGCACUGGAGAAACUUUGGGCUCUCCUGGAAAGCCUCUAGAGAAGUAAGUAUAUAUGAACAGUAGAUUUUCCUACUUCAACCUCAUCUAAACUUCUGUUUUCUUCAUCUAAUCAUCUGUUUUUAUAAUUUUUUGUAAGCUUUAUUAAGGAAAAACAAAACAAAACUGGAUCUGUUUCUGUCAAUAUUAUGUAGGACCAGCCAAAACACUCUUGAGUCUUCUACAAAAUGAAAAUAUGAAUAAUCUGCCAUCCAAAGUUACAUGACAAUUGGUGAAAAGCAAGACUCAAGACAGGACAUGAAUUACCCAGAUGUCCCAGCUGCAAAACAAAUGGAAUGUGAUACAACUUUGUUGUUGUUUUCAAAGGGAGAACCAAAGCAGUACCUAAAAGUUCUUAGGUUAUUAAUGAUUGACAAAUUAAAUUUUUGGAAGUAUUAAAUGGGCUGUGAUUUCUUCUUUGGCCAGUGCCUCUUUAAAUGCCGUGCUCACCACAGCAGUGUGAUUGAUCUGAAUCUUCUGUCCUCUUCAGGAAUAGGUCCACUAAAUCUUUGCAAGCACAGUUGUCUUUGAGAUUCAAUACGGAGAUACAGUAUAUAAAGCUCCAAAAAUGUUUUCUGGGCAGUGAGUAAGAGUGGGGAACAGAAGCUGGAACAGGAAGAGGGUCAACAAACAUGUGAAGAGAUAGAUGGUUUCCACAAGGUCUCAUCUUAGUGGAAGUUAGAUGAUGUGACAUUUCAACUGCAAGCUGAUCCCAACCAUUUCCUGAAGGUUCCUUUCCAGGAAUAUGAAUGUUCUAGAAAGGCUCAUGUGGCCACAGAAAUUCCUCAAGUAACAAGGCACAUGUGUGUCACUGUGUGUUUCACAUUUACAUGUUCAAGAACAUGGUUAGUAAAGGUGAAGGUUCUACCUGAGGUAGAGUCUACAGCUUAUGCUAGGAUUCAUCAAGUCUCAUUAGUUCAAAAUCUCAUUUGUCUGGACUCUUAUUGUCUACCUAAAAUACACAGCCAUUCUACCCUCUCAUUGACCGCUUUAAGUGAUGCAAUAUAAUUUAGGAAUUGCAUCCUGAUAUAAAGGUGGAUGCUUUGCUUUUCUAUUUAAAAGAGAAACAGGAGCCUUUCUUUAAAAAAAUCCAAUUAUCAUUAUCCUCCUAAAAUACACAUCUUAAUAAACUUCAGACUUAUAUCAAAGCAAGUUAACAUGACUCAAAUGUUUUAGAAAAUUCAUACUUGAAAUUUGUUUCAGAUCUUCCAGAUCUCAGCAGGGGUUCUAGUUUGAAUACAUCGCUUUAAUAUGUGUCUUCACCACAGGAAUCAACUCAUGGUAAAGACAUGUCUGAUGAAUUAGUCCCCUCUCUUACCUCCUAAUGUCCAGUGAAAUAAAUCUUGUGCUGAAAUGAAGUGUAGACAGUCUUCUAAGAUACAGAAAAAGGUAUACAAAGGGAAUGCUAAGGCUUCACCUGAGGAACAGAAGAUGUGGCAUGAUCGAAGGGGCUUGAUGAAAUGAAAUGAAAUGAAAGACUUGGCUAACGAGAGGUCCUAUUAAGAAUCCCCAUGAAGCACAAAUGGUAAAAGUGUCUCUGGGAUUUAACAGCAGCCUCACAGGCAAGCCAUAAAACAUUCCUUGAAAUAGAAAAAUAAAACAAACAAACAAAGCUUCUAAGUCUAAGCAUAGAUUUAAAAAUAUUAAACCAUCUUAAUCCAACUCAAAGAAAGAAUAUCCUGGAAGGUUUCACUAAACAAAGCCACCCUGGAAGAGGUCCCACCAUUCUUGGUGUCACUACUUAGAGGGCAUCCACUUGUGUGGGGAUUAAAGAGUAGACAAGACCACCUACAAGGAUGCGCUCCAGUGGCCUUACAGAUCGGAUGGCACAGUGGUUAAAGAAUGUAUGUAGUUAGGCAGGGGGCUCCAAACCACUUCUAACUCUAGCUCAGGGAAUCCACUGCCAUCUUCUGGCCUGUGGGAGUACUGUACUUAUGUGAACAACCUCCCUGCCACAACCAUACAAUAAAAAAUGUUGAGAGGCAGGCUGACCCAGGGCUUUCUCAGAGGCUUCAAGGAAAGGACAAAAGAACCCAAUUUGUGUGUCCUUGACAAGGGCCCAA